AAUUCCUCUAAACCCUGUUUGUCCCUAUCCUGGGCAGAGCCGAGACCGGUGUCUUGAAGCCUGGCACCGUCAUAACAUUUGCACCUGCCCUGAUAUCCACUGAGGUGAAGUCUGUAAAUAUGCAUCACGAGUCACUUCCAGAAGCUAUGCCAGGAGACAACGUUGGUUUUAACGUUAAGAAUGUAUCAGUAAAGGAGCUUCGUUUAGGGAAAGAGUGCAGAU